AGUCACUGACAUUAGAUACCCGUGUAGUCCAGGGUGUAAACGCUGCAGACUUGGUGUUGGAAAUCCUUCGAGGGUAUUCAGUGCCGGAGAGAAGUUGUUAAGUCUACUACUUGGGGAGUACGUCCGCAAGGAUGAAACUUAAAGGAAUUGGCGGGGGAGCACCGCAACGGGAGGAGCGUGCGGUUUAAUUGGAUUCAACACCGUAAACUCACCAGGGAAGACUGUUACAUGAAGGCCGAGAUGAAGACUCUGCUAGAUUUUCAG
rnacentral:rRNA from 1 species